rnacentral:rRNA from 1 species
AAGUGUCAACAACGGAUCUCUUGGCUCUCGCAUCGAUGAAGAACGCAGCGAAAUGCGAUAAGUAAUGUGAAUUGCUGAAUUCAGUGAAUCAUCGAAUCUUUGAACGCACCUUGCGCUCCUUGGUAUUCCUCGGAGCAUGCCUGUUUGAGUAUCA